GACGGAGGGUGCAAGCGUUGUUCGGAAUUACUGGGCGUAAAGGGCGCGUAGGCGGUUUGUUAAGUUGGAUGUGAAAACUCUGGGCUUAACCCAGAGCCUGCAUCCAAAACUAGCAGGCUAGAGUUCUGGAGGGGAUAGCGGAAUUCCUGGUGUAGCGGUGAAAUGCGUAGAUAUCUGGAGGAACACCGGUGGCGAAGGCGGCAUCCUGGACCGGUAUUGACGCUGAGGCGCGAAAGCCAGGGGAGCAAAGCGGG
rnacentral:rRNA from 1 species